UUCUUAAUAGUUUAUAAAACACUUACUUUGGAUGUAAGAAAUUCUAAAAUUCCUAUUAUUAAAAUA
rnacentral:tRNA from 1 species